rnacentral:tRNA from 19 species
GGGCGCGUAGCUCAGCGGUAGAGCACUCCCUUCACACGGGAGGGGUCACAGGUUCAAUCCCUGUCGCGCCCACCA